ACGGAGGGGGCUAGCGUUGUUCGGAAUUACUGGGCGUAAAGCGCACGUAGGCGGCUUUGUAAGUUAGAGGUGAAAGCCCAGGGCUUAACCCUGGAAUUGCCUUUAAGACUGCAUCGCUUGAAUCGUGGAGAGGUGAGUGGAAUUCCGAGUGUAGAGGUGAAAUUCGUAGAUAUUGGGAGGAACAUCGGUGGCGAAGGCGGCCUGCUGGGCAGUAGCUGACGCUGAGGCGCGACAGCGUGGGGAGCAAACAGGA
rnacentral:rRNA from 1 species